rnacentral:rRNA from 1 species
GUCGAGAAUCUUCCGCAAUGCGCGAAAGCGUGACGGAGCGACACCGCGUGAUGGAUGAAGUCCUUCGGGGCGUAAACAUCUUUUAUAAAGGAGGAAAUUUUUGACGUUACUUUAUGAAUAAGGGGCUCCCAAUCUCGUGCCAGCAGGAGCGGUAAUACGAGAGCCUCAAGCGUUAUCCGGAAUCAUUGGGCGUAAAGGGUGCGUAGGUGGUUUGAUUAGUCUCCCGUUAAAACUUCGAGCUUAACUCGAAAAGAGCGGGGGAAACGGUCAAACUAGAGUAUGUGAGAGGUGUGUGGAACUCAUGGUGUAGGGGUGAAAUCCGUUGAUAUCAUGGGGAACACCAAAAGCGAAGGCAGCACACUGGCACAUCACUGACACUGAGGCACGAAACCUAAGGUAGCGAAUGGGAUUAGAAACCGUGUAGUCC